UAUUUUUAUCUCUGAUUCGUUGAUUAUAGUGUCCCAGUGCAUACAUCGUUGCGAAUCAGUUCAAAAAUACAUCAUAAAUUAGGACACACGAACCAAUUUAUGAUUUUUAGGGGAAGAGAACGAAACAGGUAACUAUUUGUGGAUAUGCAUUGCCCAGUGAACAUGAACUCCCUCUUCAAGUAAAGCUGGCCUCCUGGAACCAAGCAAUCCAUAUAGAUGACAAGCGGUGGUGAGACUCUGUCUAAAAGCCUCCAUUUCAUGUACCAUCAAAUUUGGGAUUGAGCAUUAUUUAAGAUGUUUGGAUGUAUGUUCUGCCUUGAUUCUGCGGGCAGUACUUAUCCUUGCUUCUAUGAAUUUAUCUUAGGUGAAUUAGUCAGCUAUUGAAGGAGAGUAAGGCACUAGCUAGGUGUCCUAGCUAUCCAUGGCACGGCUUAGCUAACCAUGAUCUGGUUCUGAUAGACUAGGACCUCUAUUUCUUAUGUGGAAACUUGUGUCCCAGUCCAAGUCUGACAAGUUCAGGUUCAGCAUUGAAAGCGUGCCAUAUGAAUAGUGUCUAUACCCCUGUUUGACCCAUUUCUGAUGGUGAGAACUUAUAAAAUGUGGACAGCACUGCUUUGGUUACUUCUCUUGCACGCAUAUCUUUUGUUGCAUUAAUUAGUAUCUAUACAGGUGGCUAAUCGAAAAGCAUUUCCCCAAAAAGAAAGACAAAUUAUGGAAAUUCUAUCAAGUUUGUUCCUCUUUUGGUGCAGACAUUGAGCUUGCACAUGGUGUCUCCUAUCACAAUAUUAUUAUUCUAUAAAUAUUCUUAUGUCAUUUCCAUUUUUAAAAAAAAAUCUUGUUCAUACCUGAAUAUAUUAACAUGUUGCCUUGCCUUGCCAUAAGUUUCACUUGAUUUGCUGCUUAAAAGCUAAGUUUCAACUUUCAGACUUGGCCAAGCCGUGCUCUUCUUCUUCUUGUUUUUUAAAGCAAUUUUUUCUCUUGAGCAUCCUUUCAGGAAUUCACGUGGAUUUGCUUCCAUUGGGGAACUUUCCAACAGCUUUUCCCCAGUUCAAUAAUGCAGUGUUGAAGUAAGGAUGAUUUAGGAAGCAAGUUCAGGACAAUGCAAUCCUAAUGAAAAGGAGGUUUCUCAAGUUGAACGAGCUCAAGGGGAUGGAAACAUUGAAGCAUAUGAUUCCGCAUGAUUCGGCAAUGGAAGGGUCAGCCUAAUGGAUCGCCAUUUUAAACCAUAACCCCACUUUUGUGGGGGAUAACACUCAGAUGGCGGUGGCAGGGCGGGCUGAAAUUAAAAACUGCGUUAUCUGUCGAUGAGACUGACUGCAAGACCUAGCUGAUCGAGGUAUAUUACUGUGGCAGUGAUCACCACGUACGUAGCUGAUCUCAGUAGAAAGAGGAGACCAGAGGGCUUCGACUUUGAACUGAUUUCCCGGAUCAAUUAAUUAAAUAAAACCCUGGAUUAAGGAAGAUCUAAUAUCUGGGUUGGUAAUGAAACCUCAGCUCUCCAAUGGGCAAUCGAAAAACGAGAAAUGGAAACUGAAGAAGUUACUUAGGUAUAUAACAUAAGCAUUAGGGGUAACAGUCGUGUCCGAGAUGUGUUGUUUGAAGUUUCAUUGCUCUUAUUUACUUAUUUUAAGUGAAAACAGGUUUAGUUUGAGAAUUUGCAUUCUCUGGUAAAAUUACCGUCCUUAUAUAAGCAAGGCAUCGCAGCAAUGCUUCUCUAUCAGAUUGCCCUCCACCAGAUUGGAAUAGUUAAUGAUCGAAUAAAAAUGAUAAGAGUUGGGGGAGUUGCAGAGAGUCUUUUCACAAAAUAAAAAAUGUGUCACAAUCUGUGAUUCUCCAGUGCCAAGGGCAAGCCAUGCAUUAAGGGUAAUUUUUAUUAUUUCUACUGGUUCAUUGAUAUAUUAACUGUGGAUAUAGAUAUGUAUCUUCACUAUACUUUUUUUUUUUUUUGUGUUGAUUUAGAUUAUCGUUCAAAUGAUGAAACUGAUGUGUCCCACCAAUCUACCUCUCAAGAGAGUUAGAUGGUUAGAUGGACAUUCGAGAGAAUUUAUAAAUCUUAAAACAUGUAAGUUUUCGAAAAACUAUUCUCUCGCAACUAUUGUUGCUUCCAGUGUCAUGCAUAAUAUUUUGGACCGUGCUACUUGUACCGAUGGAAUGACAGGCUCAAUAAUCAAAUCAGAUUUCAUUUGAUGAUGAGAUUUCAUUUGAUGAUGAAAUCCGGACUUCAUUGUUCCGGCUUCAUGAAGUCCAUACGAACUUCAUCUAAAAGCGAUAGUGGCGAGGUGACGAGAUGGUGCAACGAUGGUUGGUGCAAUGCACUAUGGUAAGGCAAUGUUAGGAUACAGCAGCGAUUGCGUGAGGUGCUACAGCAAGGCGAUGAUAAAAUCUAGUGGCGAUCGUGUGAGGUGCUGCAGUGGGGCGAUGAGAGGAUGCAUCGACAAUUAACAAAGUGAAGGUGACGUGGUGAGGUAGAGUUUGCUGGAGGUGACCAUGACAGAAGAGAAAGAAGGCAACUAAAGAUAGAAGUGGUGAAUUUACAAAUUAAGUGAAGGUAUUUUUGUCAUUUGGUACCUCUAAUCAUUUUCUUAGUUAUCUAAUUAUUUGUACAAGUAGAAUUUUCUUAAUAUCUUAUGAGGGCUCCAUUAACAACAUAAGUACAACAGGAUGAGGAUGAGAUUGAUUUAAGAGGUCAAAUAUAUACAUAAUCUCUCUCAGAUAAUAGGGAGUGGGCUUGAAGCCCACAAUGAAAGGGCCAUCAGCCAUGCAUUUUCUGAAAGUCAGAUUUUCCUUUGGGCCGCUGCAGUUUUGGUUAGAGGGCUGCAGCCUGCAAGUUUGU